rnacentral:rRNA from 1 species
UACGAAGGGGGCUAGCGUUGCUCGGAAUCACUGGGCGUAAAGGGCGCGCAGGCGGCUCAUUUUGUCAGGCGUGAAAGCCCCGGGCUUAACCUGGGAACUGCGUUUGAUACGGAUGGGCUAGAGUUCGGGAGAGGAGAGUGGAAUUCCCAGUGUAGAGGUGAAAUUCGUAGAUAUUGGGAAGAACACCGGUGGCGAAGGCGGCUCUCUGGACCGGAACUGACGCUGAGGAGGCGAAAGCGUGGGGAGCGAACAGG